CCAGGCAAGGCGGGAGCGCAAGAGAAUCGGGGUCAGGUGGGGGGCGGUGGUGGCGGGGGCUGCUUUUGUGUCCUUCCUCGGCCCCCCGUGAUGGCGGUGGGCGCAGCUACACCCGUGAGCCCCAGUCAGAGCCACCACUGAGCCUGGCCCUGCACCCUCAGAGUGGGGAUUUCUUCCUCUGUUUCAGCAUCUUGAACCACAACAUUACUGACUUUUAAAGAUAUUUAAUGGCAGAAAUAUGGGUCUUCAGUAACAAUGGAUGAAUCGCUGGAAUAAGUAAACUGUCUUGAUCAUUGAAACAGAUUCGCUUUAAGUCCAGUUUACUAGAUUUAUGAUCAAGGGGUCUUCUGCUUUUAGUAAUAAUGCAAAACUUAGCUUUUCCAUGCACCAACUUUGAAAAAUAUCAAGAAAAUUGGAGAUACUGCUGUGUUGCCCUGGAAACCGGAUCCUGAUCCACAUUUAGAUUUUUUGAAGAUCCAUCAGUAGAUCCUACAGGAGAGACUCUUACAGAUCCAGUUUCAAGUUCAGCUGUGGCUAGAAAGAAGAA